AUGUCGUCGUCAUCCCGCGCCCGGGAGAUCGAGGUUGUGGUGGCCGACGGCGGCGCCAGGAAGGCGGCGGAGGGGGAGAAGCAGCCGGACCCCGUGGUGAACGUCUACUCGGCCGCGGCGUACGGGGAUCUGGAGCGACUGCGGCGGUUCGUGGAGCUUGACGGCGGCGGCGCGUCGCUCGCCGCGCCCGACGACAACGGCUAUCACGCUCUCCAGUGGGCCGCGCUCAAUAACUACCCCCACGUGGCGCUCUACAUCAUCGAGCAUGGGGGGGACGUGAACGCAGAAGACAAUUCGCAGCAGACAGCGCUGCACUGGGCGGCGGUGCGCGGGGCCACGGCCACGGCCGAUGUGCUGCUGGAGAAAGGCGCGAGGCUAGAGGCAGCCGAUGUGAACGGCUACCGGGCAGUCCAUGUUGCAGCUCAGUAUGGCCAAACAACAUUCUUGCAUCACAUCAUCUCAAAGUAUGGUGCGGAGUUUGAAGCUUUGGACAAUGAAGGGAGGAGCUCUUUGCACUGGGCUGCCUACAAGGGGAAUGCAGAUACAAUUAGGUUACUACUGUUUAUGGAUGCUAAUCAAGUAAGGCAGGACAAAAAUGGUUGCACUCCCUUACACUGGGCUGUUAUAAGAGGAAGUUUAGAAGUUUGCACCCUUCUUGUACAUGCAGGCACCAAGCAGGAACUAACAUUGAGUGAUAGAGGUGGGUUUACUCCUUUGCAACUUGCAGCAGACAAAGGUCAACAGCAUCUUUCCAAUAUACUUUCUAAUGCUACAAAAGUAAGCUUUGGAGACAAGUACUGCUCAGGGAGGCUGGGCAAGGUUGGAUACGCACCUAUCCUGUUUUCUUAUCUUGUUAUCCUCAUGAUCCUUUUCCUGAAAUCAAUUGUUUUUGCAUCUGAUUUUUCUAGAAUCACUGCUGCUGUUGGUCUUUGGUCAUGGGCUGCUAUUUCUCUUGCCUUGGCGUCGCAAGUGGUGUUCUACAGAGUUAGCAGAAACACUCCAGGCUACAUCAAAACCAAUACCGAGGGGCUUGAUCCGAAGGAACUACUCAUGGGGAUUGAUCUUAGUUCCUCUACUUUUACAGGCAAUUGGUCUCAGCUAUGCCCUACUUGCAAGAUAGUUCGUCCUGUGCGCUCCAAACAUUGUCCAAUUUGUAUGCGGUGUGUUGAACAGUUUGACCAUCACUGCCCCUGGAUAUCAAAUUGUGUUGGGAAGAGAAAUAAGUGGGACUUUUUGGUGUUUCUUUGUAUGGGGAUAGCUACAACCCUUCUCGGUGCUGCCGUUGGAUUCCACAGACUUUGGACGGAGCCCAUUAUACUCUCAUCUUCUGAGUCGUGGACUCACUUCAUGGUGACAAAACAUCCUGGUGCUGUAUUGUUCAUGUUCAUGGAUAUUUUCUUAUUAACUGGAGCUCUUAUUUUGACGGUGGCACAAGCAGUAAUGAUAGUGAGGAAUCUCACAACUAAUGAGGCUGCAAACCAGUCGCGCUACACUUAUCUUCGUGGGCCUGAUGGACGCUUCAGGAAUCCUUAUAACCAAGGCUGGCAGAAGAACUGCGUUUAUUUUCUUGUUAAUGGCUACAACAACGACGAGGAGGCUGCAUGGCCAACCCUUCAACAGACAGUAGAGUGA
rnacentral:rRNA from 1 species